rnacentral:snRNA from 1 species
AGAUGUAAGGGUGAUCUGGCUGCAACAUCUGUCACUCCAUUGAUCGCCAGGGUUGAUUGGGCUAAUCUGGCUGGCUAGACAGGUGUUCCCUUCUUCCCUCAUUGCUCCAUGUGCAUCCCUUUCAAAGCUGCACACUUGGUGGAAGAGAAAGAAGUGUUCUAGCUGUGCUCCCCUGCCAGAACCUCCAAACAAGCUCUCAAGAAUGGUGAUUUACCAUGUAGAUCUUAAAUUCACUUUGCCGGAAAUUUUUGUGAGGAAUU